rnacentral:lncRNA from 1 species
UGAAGAAAAUAGUUCCCCUGUGGAAAGUGAAGCAGCAUGGCCGAAGGAAAAUCUUUUCUUUACUGCUCCUCCAUGCACCACUCCUCAGCACCCAUCCUUAUAAAACAACCCCUGUAUUUGCAACUUCUCUUUCACUUUGCCAGAUAAAGACUGCUGGAGAAAAGACAACCGACCUGCAGAACAAGAAGGACAAUUAAGAAAACAACACCACCACCUGGUUCCCAUUUAAAAAAGAAAAAUCGGACUGGAGAUUUGCAAUGCUGACCUCCUGAGACGGAAAGGUGAAUAAGAGUCAAAGAAAAAGAGAGAAAGACAGAAAAAGUGAGUGAGAGAGAGAACAGAAAAAGAGCAAGAUUUUAUUAAUUGUGGCAUUACCAUGUGUAAGCCGGAGCAUAGACCAUUGAUGCAGAUGCCUGACUUGCUGAUCCAGCCUGUGUGUCAGUACUGAGACCAACUUCAUCUUUCUGAAAUCACUCCGGGGUCAUGUCCAGCUCUUAGUAUUCUUUUUCUGAUGUGGAGGCAGAUGCCAAGAAGUUCUGAAUUAACAAGAAAAUCGUGACUAAAGGAUGGGGAGCAGAACCAGUAAAGUUUACAAAUGGAUAUUCUUAGACCCAGAAGAAAGAAAGGAGAAAAAAAACCCUUUAAUAUCUCCAGUGAUGAAUCCUUCUGAUAUAAUUAAUCUGUCAUAGUUUAACUGUUCUGGCAAAACUACUCUGCACAUGUUAACAUUUUCCUCUGUGUGAUUUAAGGCACUAGUUAUAUACAUUUAAUUUGCAUAAGUGAAUGUAUUCAUAUAACUGUUUAUGGAAUGAUAGAUUAAUAUUCAAAUACGUUCUUUUUGAAGUUUCUUUGGUAUUCUUAAGAUAUAAAAUUUUGACAUGUUAAAAUAUAAAAGAUGAUUUUAUGCUUUGUUGAAACUAUUGGAAUGAAAUAAAAAAGCAAUAACAAGUCAUAGUUCUUGGCUUAUAAUGAAGAAAGUAAAGCUGGUUUUGAAUAAUUUACAUUUUUACAUAAAAGUCAAAUGUUGUAAUAAUUAUAUUUGUUUCUUUUGUGAAAAAUGCAACUAAAUGAAUAUCCUCAUUCAAUUAGAACCCAUCAAACACGUGAACUAAACUUGAUGGCCUAUUACUUGGUGUUCAAGUUUGUGGAAUGCCUGAAGUUUGUCCUUGUGUAAACCAGCUAUUAAAUGCAAAUUUAGGUCAGAUUUAUGAGAAUACGUAUUUCC